ACUCUCCUUCCCCAUCCUUUUUCUUACGCAUAGAAGUCUGUUUGCUGUAAGUCUGCCUGCUGUAUUUUACACGGCAGUUUCCAUCUUUCCCUUUCUUUCUCUUAGUUUAUUCUUCUUCCUUGUCUUUUUCAACGUACAAGCCGUUGUUUUCUUUUCCCUUGAACGUGCUACUUCCAUUUUUGCUUCCUCUUGAACGACAAACCGGAGACUAAGAAACAAAACAAACCAAGACGUGAACGUGACGUUACCAAAAAUUCUUGGACCCACAUAAACGACAACCGCCUACCACCAUGGUUUUUAAAUAUAAGUCGUAUAGUUUCAGUGAGGAAAAACCCCCCUCACCCGCACAAGAACCACACAACCGACCAAACUCCAUACUUAGUUUCCUCUACCAAAAACUUUAUAAGUUUGUGUGUUGCCGUUGCCAUCAUACCACUUCACAAUCUUCUGCGGUUUCGGCUCAACACUAUCACCAAGAGGAUCAAGGCUGAUCUCUGUGUUGCUGUUCAAGCACCAACGAGAGCCGCCGUUAGCUGUGAUUAGGUCCCUAAAUGGAGGAAGGCUAGGUCGUGUACAGUCGGUUGCAGUAAAGGAGGAAUAGGACUCUCGUUAUCUCCUUCCAAGUGAUGACGGGUUUUCCGUCAAGACUGGAUGUAGGGUGACAGCUCACCCCCGAGAUAUUGAGAAAUAUGGUAUUGUAAUAGUAAACCCCAGUCUUAUAGAUAGAAGCUUAGUUAGUAGGUAAUCAAACAGCUUCACUUUUUUUGUAUCAGAUCUUGGGGUAUUAAACUGGUCUAUAUGUAUAAGUACUGUGAUGUUGUAGUUGUGGUUUGUGAAAAAUAAUAUCCUACGUUUCUAUCC